rnacentral:misc_RNA from 1 species
UAAAGAAGAAGUUGGUAA